rnacentral:rRNA from 1 species
UACGUAGGGUCCAAGCGUUAUUCGGAAUUACUGGGCGUAAAGCGUACGUAGGCGGUUUGGUAAGUUGGAUGUGAAAUCCCCCUGCUCAACGGGGUGGACUGUGUCCAAAACUACCUAACUAGAGCAUAGUAGAGGCAAGUGGAAUUUGCGGUGUAGGAGUGACAUCCGUAGAUAUCGCAAGGAACACCAAUGGCGAAGGC